rnacentral:rRNA from 1 species
AUUGAACGCUGGCGGCAUGCUUUACACAUGCAAGUCGAACGGUAACAGGCCGCUAGGUGCUGACGAGUGGCGAACGGGUGAGUAAUGCAUCGGAACGUGCCCAGUCGUGGGGGAUAACUACUCGAAAGAGUAGCUAAUACCGCAUACGAUCUAUGGAUGAAAGCGGGGGACCGUAAGGCCUCGCGCGAUUGGAGCGGCCGGUGUCAGAUUAGGUAGUUGGUGGGGUAAAGGCUCACCAAGCCAACGAUCUGUAGCUGGUCUGAGAGGACAACCAGCCACACUGGGACUGAGACACGGCCCAGACUCCUACGGGAGGCAGCAGUGGGGAAUUUUGGACAAUGGGCGCAAGCCCGAUCCAGCAAUGCCGCGUGCAGGAAGAAGGCCUUCGGGUUGUAAACUGCUUUUGUACGGAACGAAACGGCUCUGGUUAAUACCCGGGGCUAAUGACGGUACCGUAAGAAUAAGCACCGGCUAACUACGUG